rnacentral:rRNA from 1 species
CCUACGGGAGGCAGCAGUGAGGAAUAUUGGUCAAUGGGCGGAAGCCUGAACCAGCCAAGUAGCGUGCGUGAUGAAGGCCCUACGGGUCGUAAACCGCUUUUGCACGGGGAUAACACCCUCCACUUCUGGAGGUCUGCAGGUACCGUGCGAAUAAGUGCCGGCUAAUUCCGUUCCAGCAGCCGCGGUAAUACGGAAGGCCCGAGCGUUGUCCGGGUUCAUUGGGCUUAGAGGGAGCGUAGGCGGGCGUUCAAGUCAGCUGUAAAAUCGCGCGGCUCAACCGCGCCCCGCAGUUGAAACUGGACGACUUGAGUUCACAACAGGCAGGCGGAAUUCGUGGUGUAGCGGUGAAAUGCAUAGAUAUCACGAGGAACCCCGAUGGCGAAGGCAGCCUGCCGGGGUGCGACUGACGCUGAGGCUCGAAGGUGCGGGUAGCAAACAGGAUUAGAUACCCGAGUAGUC